UGGCUUAAUUUAUCUGCAGUUAAGCAUUCAGCUACUAACUGAAAUGGUGGUGGUUCGAAUCCACC
rnacentral:tRNA from 1 species